UAAUACGGGGGGUGCGAGCGUUGUCCGGAAUCACUGGGCGUAAAGGGCGCGUAGGUGGUCUUGUAAGUUUGUGGUGAAAGCCCGGGGCUCAACCCCGGGUCUGCCGCGAAUACUGCGAGACUCGAGUACUGUAGAGGCUGGUAGAAUGCCGGGUGUAGCGGUGGAAUGCGUAGAGAUCCGGCGGAAGACCGGUGGCGAAGGCGGCCAGCUGGGCAGUUACUGACACUGAGGCGCGACAGCGUGGGGAGCAAACAGGAUUAGAUACCCUGGUAGUCCACGCCGUAAACGAUGGGUACUAGGUGCUUGGGGGAGCGACCCCCUGAGUGCCGGCGCUAACGCAGGAAGUACCCCGCCUGGGGAGUACGGCCGCAAGGCUG
rnacentral:rRNA from 1 species